ACUGAUACAUUGAUGAUGACACAAUAGUCCCUUUACAUCCUUUACAUCAUAACUCGAGUUUCGUUUACUCGUAUCACCGUGGUGUCUGCACACAGGUUAGUUUCUAGCAACGUGUAUUCGGAAAACGGUUCUUAUCGGUUAGGUUAGUUUAAUCUGUUAGGUGACAUCAGUCGUGUUUAUUCCCUUGUACACGAGGCAAACCAGAAAUUUACAAAAAAGAAAAAACCACAUUAGUACAUUAUCACUUGUAUUUGAGGUUUUCAAACUGUUUACGAAAAAAAAGCUCAAAUAAAGUACCGUCUAGCGAAAAAUCCGUAUCUUUUUAAGUUAUAUAAUAUGUAAAAAUCGAAUUGGGCUUAACAACCCG